CACGUUCUCGUACGAUCACCGAAGUUAAGCAUCGUAGAGCCAGGUCAGUACUUAGAUGGGGGACCGCUUAAAUACCUGGUACUGUAAG